rnacentral:lncRNA from 1 species
AGGUUGAGCUGGGAAGUAAAAACUAACAUUUGAAUCUUGAAUUAAAAAUGUGUCAGAGAAAUACAGCACUGGUGGAGUAGAUAGCACACAUGCACUUUGUUUCACCAACUUAUAGGAAUCAAUCAUAACCUGAAAAUGCUAUGCUUAUUAUGCACUCCAAAUUGUGAAGGUGAUUUUUUCAUUGUUGAUGAAAUUUAUUGUUUGAUUGAGGUUAUUCUAACUCAACUAGUCAAG